AUCCAGAAGACGAGUCCCAAAUAGGAUGAAAUGUGCAUCCUGGAU
rnacentral:hammerhead_ribozyme from 1 species